AAACUUAGGAUAAUAUCAAACCAAAG
rnacentral:tRNA from 21 species